AUUUCUUAACGUAUACCAAAGGGUUGCUACUUCGGAUGUUAAUUUUUUUCUCUCUCUUUGUCCCUCAUUUCUCUUUUUUCUCUCUCCUCUUUUUUAACAAGACUGACUUGGCUCUCCGGCAUUGACUGGUUCUCAAGCAACUUCACUCCGGUAACUGAACUCAGCUAAAGAUCGGUUAGUUUAGCUGUUAAAGAUUAAAUAUUUAUCCCAAAUUUAUUAAAUUCAUUGCAUGUUUAACUGGUCUUUAAUUUUAUUUUGUUAUAACAACCCAUAAAAGUAGGUGAUCGCAUUUUCAACUCAAAAUCAUUUUGGAGAUUCUGUGUGAAGAUAUUUUGGGUUUCAUUCACCUGGGUGCAUUUCAAUCUUCACCUUUCAGCUGUGAGAAUUAAAUUCCCCCAAAUUCACUGUGAUUUCCCAAUUUAUAUUAUCUCUAAUUUGUUGCUUUGUUUUUCUGUUUUCUUCCAAUCCACUUGCUUUCUCCUCGUCAUUUUGGGUACUUGUUCUAUGUGAGAUUGCUAAUUCGUAAGCAGCAUUCCUUUGCUUUUUCAUGACUUUGGAAUAUGGAUAUGGUGGUUGUAGUACUCAGUAAAAACUUAGAUAAAAGCAAGAAACUGAAAAAUGCAGUCAUAUAUUCCUUUUGAGAUUGAGAUUCUAUAUGAAUAUAGUUCUCAUUCCUUUUUCUUAUCGAUGAUUGUUCCAUUUCUUAUGGGUUACUAUAAAAUAUUAUUGAACUUUAAACAGCAAUUGUUGGUUUUCCCAUUGGAAAUUGCAC
rnacentral:lncRNA from 1 species